UACGUAGGGUGCGAGCGUUAAUCGGAAUUACGGUGGCGUAAAGUGUGCGCAGGCGGCUUCGCAAGUCGAGUGUGAAAUCCCCGAGCUUAACUUGGGGAAUUGCGCUCGAAACUACGGAGCUGGAGUGUGGCAGAGGAAGGUGGAAUUCCACGUGUAGCGGUGAAAUGCGUAGAGAUGUGGAGGAACACCGAUGGCGAAGGCAGCCUCUGGGCCAACACUGACGCUCAUGCACGAAAGCGUGGGGAGCAAACAGG
rnacentral:rRNA from 1 species